UGGGGUGCAGCUCAGUGGGAGAGCACUUGCCUAGCAUGUGUGAGGGCCUGGGUUUGAUCUCCAGCACUGCAA
rnacentral:tRNA from 1 species